UCAGGACGUUUUCCUAUACAUUGUACCCGGUCGAAGCGAUGGCAAGCGAUGCAGAUAACUGGGUCAAAAAGGCGGAGGUUCUGGGAAUUUCUGCACUCGUUAGCGAUCUGAGUAUGACCAAGGACAAGGAAUCAGAACCGGCGACUGACAGUCCAGAGAAAGAGAAUGCGGAAAAACCUUCUAGUCCAUAGCUCCUGAAGAAAAACGAGCUGAAGCGAAUAUGGAGAAACAGCUUCCUCCACGGAAAAUGCAGAGGCAUGCAACGCGGCGGAUGCAAGUUUGCUAAUUGAAAUUAUUCGCAAAGAUCUAGUAGAAUUAAAACUGGAGGUGCUGCGAAACGAUCCUUUUUCGACGCUAUACUCGGUUAAAACUAUCGACGCUUUGCACCUGAUGCCGGAACUGCCCACCCCGAGAGCAGAUGAGCGCUGGGGAAUGUU